rnacentral:rRNA from 1 species
AUUGAACGCUGGCGGCAGGCCUAACACAUGCAAGUAGAACGAGUGGCGGACGGGUGAGUAAUGUCUGGGAAACUGCCCGAUGGAGGGGGAUAACUACUGGAAACGGUAGCUAAUACCGCAUACCAUCGGAUGUGCCCAGAUGGGAUUGUCUAGUAGGUGGGGUAACGGCUAACCUAGGCGCCGAUCCCUAGCUGGUCUGAGAGGAUGACCAGCCACACUGGAACUGAGACACGGUCCAGACUCCUACGGGAGGCAGCAGUGGGUAAUAUUGCACAAUGGGCGAAAGCCUGAUGCAGCCAUGCCGAGUGUGUGAAGAAGGUCUUCGGAGUGUAAAGCACUUUAAGUUGGGAGGCGUUACCAACAGAAUAAGCACCGGCUAACUUCGUGCCAGCAGCCGCGGUAAUUC